rnacentral:rRNA from 1 species
AUUGAACGCUGGCGGAAGGCCUAACACAUGCAAGUCGAGCGAGCGGCGGACGGGUGAGUAAUGUAUGGGGACUGCCCGAUAGAGGGGGAUACCUACUGGAAACGGUGGCUAAUACCGCAUACAAUCGGGUAACCCUUAUGGGAUUAGCUAGUAGGUGGGGUAAAGGCUCACCUAGGCGACGAUGUCUAGCGUGUUUGAGAGGAUGAUCAGCCACACUGGGAUUGAGACACGGCCCAUACUCCUACGGAAGCAGCAGUGGGGAAGAUUGCACAAUGGGCGCAAACCUGAUGCAUCCAUGCCGCGUGUAGGAAGAAGGCCUUGGGGUUGUUAAGUACUUUCAGCGGGGAGGCGUUGCCCGCAGAAGAAGCACCGGCUAACGCCGUGCCAGAAGCCGCGGUUAUAC